UCGAAAUUGCAUCUGUAAUUUCUUAGCAAUCACCGUCAAUUAAAAAAAAAAAAAAAACCUUCUUUUGUUUUUUCCGUAGUUAUUAAGAGAAAAAAAAAAUAGAAGAGGAGAAGAUACUAAGGGCGUGUUUGGUACGGGAGAAAAUAUUGAAAAUACUUUCAGAACAUAUUUCACCUUUUUCAAGUUUGAUCGGUCAAAAUGUUAUCGGAGACAUUUCCUCUAAGAAAAUAAGUUCUUAAAAAUGAGAAAAAUACAUUCUCUAAUGAAAAUAGAAAAAAUAAGUUCUAUAAGUGACAUUUGAAAUUAAUCUUCUCCUUCUCACCUACCCAACUCCUCUAAUCCCACCCAUUAACCAUCCACUCCUAAACACCCACUCCCCUCCUUCACUAUUUUGUUACAUUACGUAUAAACUCUCUCUAUCUACCAAGAUAGAAGUAACAUCUGUAUGCACUCUAUUCUUCCUAGAUUUCAUUUUUGAAAUUACACUGGUAUGUGUACAUAUCAACGUACUUUGAAUAAUAUUUUUUAUUUUUUUUAAAAAAAAUACUAGAAAAUAAGCAACCAACCCAUUUAUUUUUCAAAGUUUUUUUUUAUAAAAACAUUCCCAUAAAAACACAUUUUCUUUCGUACCAAACACACCCAAAAAAAAAAAAAAAAAAAAAAAAAACUGUUUUGUCAGAUUCAGAGCCACCCUUUUCUGUCUCUCUUUCCUUUUUCCACUGUGUGUGUGUGUGUGAGUGAGUACUGAGUACUUACAAAUACAAAUACUACGAAACUUUGCCUCUUCAUUUUAAUGGCGUGAGUUAGCACUACCAUAACCAACAACAACACCACUCUUCUUCCCACUCUUUACCAAACACCCCAUCUCUUCUGUAAAUACCCAAAACCCCAAAAUAACAAAGAAAAAAAAAAUAUCUUCCUUAAUUCCUAAUGCAAACUUUAAUUUUCUGAUCACCAACUUUAUGUAAUCUUUCUCUGAUAUUUAUAAGUCUAAUGUAUUGUUCUGGGUGUUGUAUGUUUUAUGUCUUAGAAUAGUUGUCUUGUUACACGUACGUGUAUUUUCUGUCUGUUUGUUUGCUAUAUAUAGUGAAGAGUUUUGUGUUGUUGUGAUGUAUAGAGGUAAAGAAAAGGGCAUUGAAGGAAAAAUGAAAGGUCAUGAAGAAAUUAUGUUAAGGAUGUUUAAGGAAGAUGUUUCAUAUUUGAAUCAUCAUAAUCAGUUCUCUCCUUCAGGUUCAAGUUCUUUUUCUGGCGGGUGUGGUUUUUAUGGUGAUGAUUUAGCUGAUUCUUGGAAUGUAUUUGAUCACAAUAUUCAUCAUCAAGGACUAGUUGAUACUACUACUAAUGGACAUUUUGGUUCUGGUUGGUUUAAUGACCAAGAUUUUGAUAAAGUUGUUGACAUAGGUGCUCUGUCUCGGAGAUUUUAUGGUAUGAAUAUUGAUGAUAAGGUUGGAUUUGGUGAUGGUUUUUUCAAUGGAACAGGAAAUUCGCAUCAUGGUAUUUCUGAUUUUCAAGUGUCAUCAGGUGUGUUAGGUCAUAGGAACACAUUGAGUGGACAGAGAGGUGAUUUUUGUGAUUCAAUGGGGCCUAUUUGUCAGGAAGAAAAAAUUAAUUAUGAAUACUUGUGUAACAUGAAUAGGCCAUGUAGUAACAAUGAGGGUCUUCAAUAUGAUGAUGUUGUUGUUGAUAGGAGAUUUUUUAGCUCGUUACAUGGUUCUAACUUGAUAAAUCCUAGUAGGAUGGGAUUAAGUUCUGAAUGUGAUUGUUCAAUUGCUAAGCAAAGGAUUAAAUCAGUAAAUAACCCUUUUUCUCCAUUGCCAAAUUCAAGAAUCCAAGAUAGUUAUAGUUAUGAAGACAGCUUUAUUCUUCAAGGGGAAUCUUUAAAAUAUGGUUCUGAACAGAGAGGUUUACUAAAGGGUCACAAGAAAAAAUCAAGAAAUGAGGCUAAAAUAGAAAGGUUGCAAGAAAAGAAACCAGCAAGGGAAGGAAAUGUAGAGAAAAAUGUGUAUUUGGCAGCAAAAGAUCAGAUGGGGUGUAGGUAUUUACAGAGGAUAUUUGAUGAAGGGACAUCUGAAGAUGUUCAGAUAAUAUUUAAUGGAAUUAUUCAUUAUAUACUUGAGUUAAUGAAGGAUCCAUUUGGUAACUAUCUUGUUCAGAAAUUAUUGACUGUUUGUAAUGAUGAACAAAGAAUGCAGCUUGUGCUUAUGGUGACUAAAGAUCCAGGAGAACUUGUGAAAACAUCUAGAACAACACAUGGGACUCGUGUUGUGCAAAAGUUAAUUGAGACAAUGAGGACCAGGCUGGAAAUUUCCUUAGUUAUAAGGGCUAUUCAACCUGGUAUUCUUAAUCUCAUGAUGGAUGUCAAUGGAAAUCAUGUGAUUCAACGUUGCUUGCAUUGUUUAAGCAAGGAUCAUAACAAGAACAUGUGGGCCUUUGUUGUUGUUGGACAAUAUUCAUUUCAACAGAAUAUCUACAUGGAUGGGAAGUAUCUUGAGGAGAUCACCCUAGUUGUGCACAUAAACCAGUUUGGAUUUUCAUAUCUGUUAUAUUUGAUGUUGCGAGUAAACAUUGUGUUGAUAUUGCAACACAUCGUUAUGGAUGCUGCGUGUUGAAUAAAUGCAUCACUUAUUCAACUGGGAAGCAACGUGAGAAGUUGCUUGUUGAGAUUUGUUCUAAUGGGCUUAAGCUUGCUCAAGAUCCUUUUGGGAACUAUGUUGUUCAAUUCAUAAUAGAGUUAAAAAUACCCUCUGUUGCUGCCAUGUUGCUCUCUCAGUUUGAAGGGCGUUAUGUAUACCUCUCAAGGCAAAAGUUUAGCAGCCAUGUUAUUGAAAAGUUGCUGAAGUG